rnacentral:rRNA from 1 species
GACGAACGCUGGCGGCGUGCCUAAUACAUGCAAGUUGAGCGAGGAAGAUUGGUGCUUGCACCAAUUUGAAGAGCAGCGAACGGGAGAGUAACGCGUGGGGAAUCUGCCUUUGAGCGGGGGACAACAUUUGGAAACGAAUGCUAAUACCGCAUAACAACUUUAAACAUAAGUUUUAAGUUUUAAAGUUGCAAUUGCAUCACUCAAAGAUGAUCCCGCGUUGUAUUAGCUAGUUGGUGUGGUAAAGGGUCACGAAGGCGAGGAUACGUAGCAGACCUGAGAGGGUGAGCUGCCACACUGGGACGGGGACACGGCCCAAACCCCUAGGGGAGGGAGCCGUAGGGGAUCUUUGGGAAGGGACGAAGGGCUGAACAAGCGACGCCGCGUGAGUGCAGAAGGUUGCCGUGUCGUGAAAGUCUGUUAGUAGUGAGGAACGUUAGUGAGUGUGGAAAGCUCAGCAAGUGACGGUAACGAGCCAGAAAGCGACGGCUAACUACGUG